rnacentral:rRNA from 1 species
GGCUCUUCGGUUAUUAAUUAAAUGAGGAGUCGGACCUGCCCGGUGACCUACGGGUUAAACGGCCGCGGUACACUGACCGUGCAAAGGUAGCACAAUCACUUGCCCUUUAAUUAGAGGCUGGUAUGAAUGGUUUGACGAGGGUUGAGCUGUCUCUUUUGGAAUAUUUAAAAAUUAACUUCUAGGUGAAAAGGCCUAGAUUGAGCUGAGGGACGAGAAGACCCUGUUGAGCUUUAGUGUUGGGUAGAGAGUGGCAUUUCUAUUACUAAUAGAAAGUUUAGAUUUACUUUUACAUCUUUAGUUGGGGUGACUAGGGAACAUGGAUAGCUUCUCUGUUGUUUGUUUAACUUAAUUUGGUGGACUGACUGGUGAUCCAGCAUUGUUGAUUAUCGGAAAAAGUUACCACAGGGAUAACAGCGUAAUCUUUCUGGAGAGUUCACAUUGAAAGAAGGGUUUGCGACCUCGAUGUUGGAUUAAGGUGUCCUGAGGGUGUAGCAGCUUUCGUUGGUUGGUCUGUUCGACCAUUAAAACCUU